GUCUCUUUCUGCUUCAAGCCUCCCUAACGAAAAGAAGAGGAGCGGACACACAACUCCGGUUCAACCUGCAAUAGGAGCUCUACCUUACCAGGGUUCCGCAACAAUGGAUACCUGCACAGAAAGCAGGUCGUUGCUAACAGUGAGGCUGAAAAGCUGAACCAUGAAGACCUCUCAUCCAGGUUUUGGAUAACGCUGGAAAACAGAAACGUGAUGAUGACUAAAUCACUGCAGGUGACCAUCACUGCUGACCCUGAGUGACUCCCUGAGGAUGUCUCUCUUCAAGGAAUAAAUCUGCCCGUGAGAUUUAAUCGGAUGUCCUUGAGAUAUGUGGGUUCUCGCGUCCUGAUCCCUAAAGGUCUGGUGCGUUGAGAGCAGCACGAAGAUGGGUGACUGAGGACUCUGAGAUGCAGCCCGUUUGCCUCCCUGGAUGGUUUCUCUCCUGUGUGCAUUCUCAUGUAUUACUCAAAUGAGUAAUGUUAUUGCAAAUCUGCAAGUUUUGCAAUAACCUUAAAAAAAUAAAUAAUAAAAAAACCUAAUUCAGAA